AAAAAAGCACAUACUCUCUUCUUUUGAGUUAUCCAUAAUAACUUUAACUCUACUUUUCCCAGUUUGCAGAAGUUGUUUCCAUGGCAACAUUACUCUAAAUUGUACGAAUUCUCCUUCCCUGUCAGAAUUGUACACAGGAAACCCAAGCUUUAUCUACUUGAUUUCAACUCACCAGUAUCAGCAGGCACCCAAAUGCAAUUCAUC